rnacentral:misc_RNA from 1 species
AACCAUUCUCACCUGCGGCUAGACCUGCGGAGGGAUCAUUAUCGAAUGCAAGACGGCGUUGCCGUCGCGGUGCACAACCGCUCCUCCCUUGCUUAUCAGUACCUUUGUUUCCUCGGCGGGUACGCUCGCCGCUGGACCUUUUGUUCAACGCUUCUGUUGUUUGCAGUGUUGUCUGAGCAUUAUGCACCAAUUGUCAAAACUUUUAACAACGGAUCU